GAGGAGUUAAUCUAACUAAAGACUUCUAAUUUCGACUUAGAAAAUUGUGGUUUAAACCCACAGCUCCUUU
rnacentral:tRNA from 1 species